UAAUCGCGGAUCAGCAACGCCGCGGUGAAUGCGUUCCCGGGCCUUGUACACACCGCCCGUCAAGUCAUGAAAGUGGGUAGCACCCGAAGCCGGUGGCCCGACCCUUGUGGGGGGAGCCGUCUAAGGUGAGACUCGUGAUUGGGACUAAGUCGUAACAAGGUAGCCGUACCGGAAGGUGCGGCUGGAUCACCUCCUUUCUACGGAG
rnacentral:rRNA from 1 species